GCAGAGUAGGAUCGGGCGCGUUAAGUGCUGCGCGGACAGUGAGUUGCCGCGCGGACGAAAAACCGGAAACGGUUUGCGGUGCCCCGUCCGCAUCACGCUGC
rnacentral:ncRNA from 1 species